GGUCCACGCUGCGGAGCAACGUGAGGCAGGAGCUCGCCGAGAACUCGGUCACCUCGUCGGUGGCUGGGUUGUACCUGGAGAUGAGGACCACGCAUGCUCCGCAGCCACCUGCCGUAUUGGGAAAUCGAAGAAGUGAAGCAGGAAACAAGUGCAAGAGGUUAGCAAGACCAAGUGCAAAGAAUGUUGCAGUUUCGUCAGGGCGUGGAUGAACCUGGUGGGCAUCGAAGCUUAGCUACACUGUCACUGAACUCUCAGAAAGGUUGCAGGUAGAGAAUUUUUCCAUUGUAAGGUGCCAGGUUCUGAAGUUAACAUGGCCCAAGUGCGCCAAAAGGAGCACAGGAAACGGCGUGUAGGAGGAAACGACCGGAGAGGAACCAAUUCGGAGUUUUUCAACGGGAAAGUCUUGAGUAUUGACAAUCAUGUUCAGUGGAAGGAGUAGUUGUCAAACCUUUGUACUAUGCACAAGAGGCUUUGGACAAGUGCUUUAAUUUGUUCGUUAAACAAACCGGCCAAAUAAAGCUUUUUUGCCUUCGAAAACAA